AUUGAACGCUGGCGGCAGGCUUAACACAUGCAAGUCGAGCGAGCGGCGGAAGGGUGAGUAAUGUCUGGGAAACUGCAUGAUGGAGGGGGAUAACUACUGGAAACGGUAGCUAAUACCGCAUACCAUCAGAUGUGCCCAGAUGGGAUUAGCUAUUAGGUGGGGUAAUGGCUCACCUAGGCGACGAUCCCUAGCUGGUCUGAGAGGAUGACCAGCCACACUGGCACUGGGACACGUGCCAGACUCCUACGGGAGGCAGCAGUGGGGAAUCUUGCCCGAUGGGCGCAAGCCUGAUGCAGCCAUGCCGCGUGUGUGAAGAAGGCCUUCGGGUUGUAAAACACUUUCAGCGAGGAGGCGUUACUCGCAGAAGAAGCACCGGCUAACUCCGUGCCAGCAGCCGCGGUAAUAC
rnacentral:rRNA from 1 species